CUGGCGGCGUGCCUAAUACAUGCAAGUCGAAACGCACUCUCGUUUAGAAUUGAAGGAGCUUGCUCCUGAUUGAUAACAUUUGAGUGAGUGGCGACGGGUGAGUAACACGUGGGUAACCUGCCCUAAAGUGGGGGAUAACAUUUGGAAACAGAUGCUAAUACCGCAUAAAACCUAACACCGCAUGGUGUAGGGUUGAAAGAUGGUUUCGGCUAUCACUUUAGGAUGGACCCGCGGUGCAUUAGUUAGUUGGUGAGGUAAAGGCUCACCAAGACCGUGAUGCAUAGCCGACCUGAGAGGGUAAUCGGCCACACUGGGACUGAGACACGGCCCAGACUCCUACGGGAGGCAGCAGUAGGGAAUCUUCCACAAUGGACGAAAGUCUGAUGGAGCAACGCCGCGUGAGUGAAGAAGGUUUUCGGAUCGUAAAACUCUGUUGUUGGAGAAGAAUGUAUCUGAUAGUAACUGAUCAGGUAGUGACGGUAUCCAACCAGAAAGCCACGGCUAACUACGUG
rnacentral:rRNA from 1 species